rnacentral:lncRNA from 1 species
UGUAAUAUUUCAGAGCUUUAUGGCCCGAUUAUUCGAUAAAGAAUGAUUUCCGAGAUUACUAAGUUUUCCCCAAGUUUUAAAACUAACCGGGAGUUCAUUGUUCAUCGCUCGAUUGAGAUUACCGUGAAACUGACUUGGCUCUAGACCAGCAGACUAUUUCGGGCAUACGUACCCCCAGCACACAAUAGCAUAAAGUAACACAAGAUAGAUAACUCAUACACAACAUGCCCAUAGGCCAUCAUACGCAACACAUAAUUGAGGACUUCACACUUAGCAAAUCAAAUGGUCUCAUUUCUUCAUAUAAG